CCUGGUCAGCCAGAUGCAUUUUUGUGGGCUAUUUGCUGAGCCUCGAAAGCACUGCCUCGGUACCUCAGCUGCCUCAUGCUGCCCCAAAACCUGCAGCACCUCUGAGCGCCUCCAGUGUAAGCUGUGCCCCGUGGCUGUCGGUCAUCACAAUGCUCUCAUCACCUACACCAAUGGAAACAACACCCCACAUACAGAUUUCCAUGUCAGGGGUUAUAUUUGAGAGUGUUUUGGAAGCAAGCAAGCCACCAAAACGUACAACCAGAAACCUAACUGCUGUUCAGCAUACUGGUUAUAUAAGAAGCAAAGAAAAAGAGAAAAGAAGCCCUAAACUGCUCUUUUUACUCUGCGCAGCGUGAUUUGGAUGGAGGCAGAUCCCACGCAGUGCAAGAUGAGCUGCGGGCCAUCACAGCAAGUCUGGCAGCUCGUUCCCAUAUUUUGUUCCAUUUUGCCAUGUGCAAAACACACAAGGGAUUGUCUGGAGGACAGUGGGGGCCUUUAUGCCCCCAAACACGUUAUUGCUGCUGCAGCUCAGCUAUUUUUUCCCCCCUCUCUGAUGUGCCUCCAGCCUGUGUGGCUGUUCCCAGGGAGCCGCAGGGCUGAGACCUCGCAUGGCCUCCGGUGAUGUCACAGGAGUCACCAGGGACCCCAAAUUUCUGUUUUGGGUGACUACGGGGUGUAUCUGUGAGCCAGGUGCCACGGGCAGGACAGGGGAGGAUGGGGGAGGACAGGCUAUUGCCCAGCGAGGUACAACCCAGCCCUGAAUUCUUGGAAAAGAGAUUACAGCUUGCAGGGCUCCUCUUCCAGAUUUUUUUUUUGCAGGUGUUUUAGCACUGCACUGAAGAACGGGACUUCUUAGGGAAGGAGAGCCCAGCCUGGAGCCCCCGUGUGAGAGGUGACAGCAGAGGAUGCCGCUGCUUUCACCCCAGGAAGGGCCCUGCCGAGGUACUGGGCCAGCCCCCCUGAAUGGGGCAGCCGGGAUUUCCCAUGGGUUUAAGGCUAAAUUAAGCUGUCUUCAAUGCCACGCUUUGUACUUUUAGGGUGACACAUGGCAAAAGGCUUGAGAGAUAGCACCUGCCCCUGAGCACCGGCAAAAGUUCUGUUUAGCGUGGCUCAAGUCUUUGCGGCCAGCUAUUAUGAGCCCCAAUUAUUUCCGAUGCCUCCCCACAUGCCAAGAGGAGGGCAUUGGCCAUGGUGCUGCCCCAAGAACCGGCAACAGGCAAAAAUAUUUGGCACAGGGAGGUCGUCUGGUGGAAGCCCCUGCCCAGACCUCGCCGUGCAGGAGGCUGCCGCAGUCUGGCAGAGCGGUCACUUGCAUGGGACUGUUCAGAAGAGGCCCAGAUUUGGACGGGGGACAAAGAGACGACUUUAGAAAGAUAGCCAUAGUUGG